GUAAAAAGCUCUAGAGUAAAUAAGCAGAAAUAUACAUGUAUAAUCUUAAAGUAGGGAACAAUUACUUUAACAUUACAAUAAGCUCCAAACAUAAAAGAUUGAUUAGUUAGACCACAAAUAAGAAAUUUCAUUUAUUGAAAAUCUCAACAAAAAAGAAAGACACAAACUUAAAUACCUGUUGCUCAUGAAACUGAAAAUGAAUUGACAUUCAAAUAUAAAUCACAUAUCAAUUAGAAAAAAAAUAAAAUGACAUAUUUCAUAGAAGAGAAAAUAAAAUGCAGAUGAAAAAGAAAAAAAAAAUAUGCUUCUUAAUUAGCAGUGAAGAAAAGUAAAUAAAUUAAGCAAAUUAAGAUGUUUAUAAAUCCUACUUAUUGCCCAGUCUAUUAGCUAAAACUAAAAAGAUGACUAAUUUAUAAUCUUGUGAAAGAUGUGAUUCAGUUAUGUAUUUCCUAUUUCUGGAAAUAAAAAAGUUAAACUAUAACUAUCAUGUGAUCCAACUACCCCAGAAGAGGUAUAACAGCCAAGGAAAUGGAAUCAGAAUGUAAAAGAGACAUUCACAUUCCCAUGUUUAUUUGCAGUACUACUCACAAUAUCCAAGACAAAUGAAAUCAGCUGAAAUGUGUAUCAAUGGAUUAGUGGGUUUUAAAAAAUGUGGUAUUUAUAUGUAAUAAAUAUUAGUCAUACAUAAAUUAUUUUUCAUAAAAACAAUGCAAUUCUGUUAUUUGGGGUAACAUGAUUAUAUUUGGGGGAUGUUAUAUUAAAUGAAAUAACUCAGGCACAGAAAGACAAAUACUAUAUGCUCUGGCUUGUAUGCAAAAACUUAAGUUGAUCUUAUAGUGUAAAGAGUGGAAUAGGGGUUACCAGAGGCUGGGAACAGUAGAAUGGAGGAUGGGAUGGAAAGAGGUUAGUUCUGGGGCACAUUAAAUCAGAUUGAUAAAUUCUUGUGUCUGUCACAUUGCAGAAUGACUGUAAUUAUUGCACAUUUUAAUAGAGCUACAAUUAUUGCAUAUUUUAAAAGAGCUAAGAAAUUAGGUGAUGGAUAUACCAAUUGACUUGUUUUGAUGAUUAUACAAGCUAUAUAUGUACCUCUCCCCCCAAAUCAUAUUAUACUAAUCCAUUCAUUUCUCUUGUUUGCAACCUCACAUUUUCCCCCCAUACUAGAGUUUGAACCAAGGGCCUCUCACACACUAGGCAAACUCUCUACCACUAAUUUUAUAUUUAAAAUUACUGAGUCAAAAUCAUUUUAAAAUAGUAUUGAAAAAAUUAAAUUUAAAAAUGAAGUUUUGGGGGUUUUUUGUUUGUUUUUUAAAGGAGCAGUUAGAGAAAAGCAGGAAGCAACAAUCUGUAUUCAAAAGAACCAUUCUAGGCCAAAAAAAUGUAGUGAUCUUAAAAUAUCCUCUGGAAGUUGCCCAUCCAGGUUGAUAUUGCCAAGACAACUUUCUUCAGCUCCUUGGGCUGCUGCUUCCUCUCAGUCCAUAGCUACUCAUCUGGCUAUUGCUUGGGCGUCACUCCUGUUUCUUGUAUGUUGUUUUCCUCCACAUCUAAGCUCUUUGUUGAGCUUUUGACCAACCUUCUUCUUUGCUCUUCUCUGUUCAGAGUAAGCUAGCGCACAUGUCAUUAGUACCAACUCUAUUUGCC
rnacentral:lncRNA from 1 species